rnacentral:miRNA from 1 species
ACAGAUAUGGUAGGGGGCACA